rnacentral:rRNA from 1 species
ACACGACUACAUUAGAUACCCCGGUAGUCCAGGGUGUAAACGCUGCGGGCUUGGUGUUGGGGGUCCUUUGAGGGCGCCCAGUGCCGGAGAGAAGUUGUUAAGCCUGCUGCUUGGGGAGUACGUCCGCAAGGCUGAAACUUAAAGGAAUUGGCGGGGAGCACCACAAGAGGUGGAGGCUGCGGUUCAAUUGGACUCAACGCCGGAAAACUCAUCGGGAGCGACAGCAGUAUGAUUGCCAGGUUGAUGACCUUGCUUGACAAGCUG